rnacentral:lncRNA from 1 species
GGAUGGGAGUUCUCUUACACAACCUUACACAACAUGCAUUAAAAGCCACAUUAUGUAAGAAAAAUUAAAUUUUACUUGUCACUUGGUUUUUGCCAUUAAAACUUAGGUGAGAUGGGUGAUGGAAAUCCUCCUAGUCAAGUCUAGGGUUUUAUAAGUUUUUAAAAUGGUUAUGGAUGGUAAGAACAUCAUCCAAAAACCAUAAAACCAUGCAUGAAAACCAAUUAAAACUAUUUUCACCCAAAACCAAACCAUGAACACCAAGAACAAAACCAUGAACACAAUAUCAAGAUUUGUACAUUCUUGGUGAUUUUUCAAACCCAAAAACAAAAAGUGACAAGAACACUUCUUUUAAGCUUUAAUAGGAUGUGUGAGUGGUUUACAAUAAAACACAAACACAACCCAAAACCACCCCCAAAACCGUGCCUACCCUUUUGAACAAAACCCCAAAUUUUGUUCAUGACUUAUUCUUCAUUCAUGCAUACAAAACAACUUUUACAUGCAUAUCUUUUUCAACUCUUGAUUUACAAUUUUCAACCAUUGAAAAAACAAAAGACAAACAUACUUUUAAAUGAAGAAAUAAUAUGUCUAACUAGUUCUAAACUCAUUUUUCAUUCAUGUAUACAAAACACUUUUGCAAACAUAUCUUUCUCAACUUUUGACUAACAUUUUUCAACUAUUGAAAAACAAAAGAUAAACAUACUUUGAAUGAAACAAUAAUAUGUCAUACAUAACAUUAAUACCCAUAUGCAUAAAAUCCAAAAGGACACAUUAUACAUAAACCAUUGGCUCUGAUACCACUUGAAGGGAAAAUUAUGAGAUUCUAUCAUGGGAUUUCAUAAUGACUAUCAUGCAUAUACAAAUCAAAAUUUAAUAUACGAAAGCAGCGGAAGCAUUUAUAACAUAUUAUCAAAGCUAUAGUCAUGCAAAUCCCCUUCAAGGUUCAUAGGUUUAUAUAUAUAAUGCAUCAAAACAAUUUUUAGAAUCAAGAACAAAGUGAAGGUUAGUCUUAUACCUCUUGAUCUAGACUUAAGACCAAGGAUGGACCACCUCCAAGGCCUUUGCUCCUUGAAAUCCUUGAGCCUAGCUUCCCUCCUUGCCUCCUCCACUUUGUUACAAUGAGUGCUCCUAGGUUCUCUUCAAGUUCCCAAAGUAGGAAACCUCUAAAGAUCCUCACCCACUAGUGUAGUGAGAAGGAUGAAGGAAUAACCAAAAGGGUGUAAGAGAUGUUAGUAAAAACUCCCCUUUGGUGGCCGGCUUUUGUGGUUCAAGAGAGCUAUUUUCUUUUGCCUCUUUUGUUGUUCAAAACUCACAAAAACCCUAAUGAACAAUAUCUUAUAAAGUUCCUUAUAUAGACAAAAGAAACCUAGUCAACACUUGACUAAAUAUCUCUCCUUUCUUCACCUAAAGUGGCCGGCCCCUUUGUGUUGUUUUUGGGCUUGGGGCUUUUAUUAUUUCAAGUCAUCCAAUGCUUGAAUAAAAGCACAAUGGGUUUAGGCCCAAUGGGCCUAAUUAAACCCGAACGUUUCUUUAAGCCCAAAACGAUCUUUAU